rnacentral:lncRNA from 1 species
GCUUAACAAUAGAUUUUAUUUUCCUUUGUCAAAGAUCCAAAGAGAACUGGAAAGAAAGUAUACACUCCUGUGGGAUAGAGACCACUCCUCUGAGGUCCCUUCGAGGCUUCUUCCUUCCCUGCCCAGUAGUCAAUGCUAAUGUUUCACAGGGUACUGAGGCUAGUCCUCUCCUCUUUCAAUUACAUCUGCUCUCUCCUCACUCAUCAGUCCUCCCUGCUAAGUCACCAUGUUUACACUGGCCACGUCCACAUCUCCAUCUUCAUCACCGUUGUACCACCUGAGCUCCAAAUCCCAGAAUCAUGGAAGAGAUCCUUCCUGUAUCAAGUCUGCAGCUCUUUCUCUUUUAAAGGAAUAUUUUAAUGGAGUUUACAAUACUUAAAUGAUGAGUUUUGACAGCACACUUCAGCCUGUGUUAUAUAUAUCCGAAAAGCCAGUCAAACGGAGGUCUCCUGGAAUGCUUCUCAGGUUUCCCUUGGUGCUCUGAGGGAUUCAGUUCACCUGGAGUUAUGAUUGAUUCUGAGCCUCAGGCAGUAAAUGAGCAGCUGUCUACAUAGACAUCUCCUUUAGUUUUUCAGUUAUUGCCAUGACAGUCUCAUGUACUUGCAGUGGAACUGUUAUGGGUAUAAUAGUCCUGUCAUACACAAAUUUUAAUUCAUUUAAUUUUUAAGGAAUUCAGUUUUCUAUCAGCAAGAAGGAUAUAAUUGAGUUUCCAUGAAGGUGUAAUUAAACACAGUGUAUCUUGGCCUUGCGGAGAUUUAACUCACUUCACACAGAUUUGUAUUCCAAUGCCUUCAAAUAAUUUCCAUCAAAAUAAUUGGUAUUUCCCUGGAAAAUAGUAACAGAAAACGUGUUCAUCAUGUCUUCCCCAAUCUUUCAAUGACUUAACAGUCCAUUACAGAGUUCCAGGCACUAGGUUAGAAACUGAGACUCUCCAAAUAAAUUAAAAACUCAACUGACUACAAAAGCUCAAUCCAGCGUUGUGGUUUGAGGAAGCAGGCAAAAAAGACUAAUCUACCUUGUAGAUUCAAAGAAACUAACAUGAUCUAUGAUAUAGAUGCUUAUCUCCCUUAUCUAAUUUUUUUGAGAAAACUACUUAGCAUGUUUCCUUUUUUCUCCUUUCUCACUCUUCACAUCUUUGUAAUUUGUCUUGGGCCCCUAAGCACCCCUAAAAAUGCUCCAACUAAGUCCACCAAUGACUUAUUCACUCAUUAAAAUUAUAUAGAUGCUUUAUCAAUUCUCACGGUUUACUUUACUUCCUUGAAAUGUAACUCUUGCCUUUACGUCUUUCUUGAAAUGUUCUUUUUCCUUGGUUUCUGUGGGAAUGAAUUCUCCCUCUGGGUUUCCUCCUACUUCUCUGGUAUUUCUUCUUAGUCCUCUAUCAAAUCAUAAUAGUUUUUUUUUCCAACUGGCACAAAAUUGUUUCUAUUCUGAAAGUAAACACACCAUAGAAAUAUACACCUUCUUAGACAUUCCAAAUGAAUGUUUCAUAGGCAACUUAAACUCUACACUGAAACAAUCAGACUCCAUAUUUUCUCCCCGGAACAGGUUCUUUAUACUGAGUUCCCUAUCAACCAAAGAUACCAUUGCCUUGAAGUUUCUCAGUACAGAAAUUGUGUAUUCUUCUUUGUGUUUCUUUGUAUCUGGCUCCCAUACCCAAGUAGUCAACAGUCUCCGUUUCUUCUGUCUCCUGAUAAUUGCUGACUCUCUAGACUUUUCUCCAUUCCCCUAACCUUUCACUGCAUUCAGAUCUCCACAAUGACUCACCUGUAAGUCUUAACUUCCAUUGGCCUGGUAAGAAAAUACAAAUUCUUAAUCCUUUACGUACUGACCUAUGCUUAAUUAUCCAGUCUAUUUUUUAAUUCUAUUCUUACCAUUGAAUUCUAUAUUUAAACCAAUUUGUUCUACCUGUAGUUUUCCUCAAAAAUAUGUUCUUCUGACAAGAGAAAGCAUUGAUUAUCGAUUUCCUAAUGAUAUAAAAUCUUUUUAUUUUGCCUUUUCCCUAUUUCUGCUUGGGUCAUGACCUUAACCCAACAAAGAAGAUGCCCUUCUUGCAUGGCCGUAUAUCUUGAGCUUAUGGAUGAUUUAUUGCAACUGGCUGUUACUUCUCUCCCUUGAGCUCAUGGAGGGUGUCUUGGUCCUGAUUAUAUUUCAAGCUGUAAGUAAUACAGUUUCUAAAAGUGUAAUAAGUUGUGUUGACUAUUGAGUGAAUCAAAGAGUAUCCAAAAUCCCACUGGGAGCACAGAGGAGGGAGCAGUACAUGCAGGUUCUGGA